rnacentral:rRNA from 1 species
AUUGAACGCUAGCGGGAUGCUUUACACAUGCAAGUCGAACGAGUGGCGGACGGGAGAGUAAUAUAUCGGAACGUGCCCAGUAGCGGGGGAUAACUAAUGGAAAGAGUGGCUAAUACCGCAUACAAUGGGAGCGGCAGAUAUCGGAUUAGCUAGUGGGUGGGGUAAAGGCUCACCAAGGCAACGAUCCGUAGCUGGUUUGUGAGGACGACCAGCCACACUGGGACUUAGACACGGCCCAGACUCCUACGGGAGGCAGCAGUGUGGAAUUUUGGACAAUGGGGGAAACCCUGAUCCAGCCAUCCCGCGUGUAUGAGAAGGCCUUCGGGUUGUAAAGUACUUUUGGCAGAGAAGCGGUAUCUGCAGAAUAAGCCCCGGCUAACUCCGUGCCAGCAGCCGCGGUAAUUC